rnacentral:rRNA from 1 species
UACGUAGGGAGCAAGCGUUGUCCGGACUCAUUGGGCGUAAAGCGCGCGUAGGUGGCCUCAUAAGUCCGCUGUGAAAGUCAAAGGCUCAACCUUUGAAAGCCGGUGGAUACUGUGAGGCUAGAGUACGGAAGAGGCGAGUGGAAUUCCUGGUGUAGCGGUGGAAUGCGCAGAUAUCAGGAGGAACACCAAUAGCGAAGGCAGCUCGCUGGGACGUUACUGACACUGAGGCGCGAAAGCGUGGGGAGCGAACAGG